rnacentral:rRNA from 1 species
UGGGGAAUAUUGGACAAUGGGCGCAAGCCUGAUCCAGCCAUGCCGCGUGAGUGAUGAAGGCCCUAGGGUUGUAAAGCUCUUUCACCGGUGAAGAUAAUGACGGUAACCGGAGAAGAAGCCCCGGCUAACUUCGUGCCAGCAGCCGCGGUAAUACGAAGGGGGCUAGCGUUGUUCGGAUUUACUGGGCGUAAAGCGCACGUAGGCGGACUUUUAAGUCAGGGGUGAAACCCCGGGGCUCAACCCCGGAACUGCCUUUGAUACUGGAAGUCUUGAGUAUGGUAGAGGUGAGUGGAAUUCCGAGUGUAGAGGUGAAAUUCGUAGAUAUUCGGAGGAACACCAGUGGCGAAGGCGGCUCACUGGACCAUUACUGACGCUGAGGUGCGAAAGCGUGGGGAGCAAACAGG